GACGAACGCUGGCGGCGUGCCUAAUACAUGCAAGUCGAGCGAAGUUUUUCUGGUGCUUGCACCGGAAAAACUUAGCGGCGAACGGGUGAGUAACACGUAAAGAACCUGCCUCAUAGACUGGGACAACUAUUGGAAACGAUAGCUAAUACCGGAUAAUAGCAUUAACUGCAUGGUUGAUGUUUAAAAGUUGGUUUUGCUAACACUAUGAGAUGGCUUUGCGGUGCAUUAGCUAGUUGGUGGGGUAAAGGCCUACCAAGGCGACGAUGCAUAGCCAACCUGAGAGGGUGAUCGGCCACACUGGGACUGAGACACGGCCCAGACUCCUACGGGAGGCAGCAGUAGGGAAUCUUCCGCAAUGGGCGAAAGCCUGACGGAGCAACGCCGCGUGAGUGAAGAAGGAUUUCGGUUCGUAAAGCUCUGUUGUUAGGGAAGAAUGAUUGUGUAGUAACUAGACACAGUAGAGACGGUACCUAACCAGAAAGCCACGGCUAACUACGUG
rnacentral:rRNA from 1 species